CAAAUCACGUAAUUCACAAAAUAUAGUCUAAAAAUGAUCUUCUUUAACAUUUUUCUUCUUAUUUUCAUCUUUUUACCUGCCAAUAUAAGUAGUCAUUCAGUAAUAAUGAGAUUAUUUGGUCCAACGUCUAGCCACCCCAACCAACGAUUUUUAUUCGGUGCAUUUUUUUGGCUUUCAUGCCAAUGUUACUGUUCCUAAUUAAAACAAAUAAGAAAAAAGCGUGAAACCGGUCAUCAAGUUAAUAAUGCAUGUGGAUCAUUACUUACCAAUAUUUUCGUCCAAAAAAUUCAACUCAAUCAUCAAUUAAUCCUCAAAAAUAGGAAUUAUUUUCCACAUUUAAAUGAACAAUACUCAAAUCAAAUCUCAAUAUGAUGGAGCCAUGUAACCGUAGACAACAAGUGGGUACAUAGAUGAAUAUAUAGUUACACAUCAGUUUAUUCUACAAUUAAUUCAUAUUAUAUUCUCUAAGUUAACUUUACUAUUGAUGAGCGUUAACACACACCCAUCAAAGGUUGAUUUCCCUGUUUUGAUCGUUAACAGAACUGCCUGGCCCUUUUGGUCCAAUAUGUUGACGGAUUUAGUUCUCCUCUGCUUCAUCAGCGAAGAGGAUGACAUAUUCGAG
rnacentral:lncRNA from 1 species